CCUACGGGGGACAGCAGUGAGGAAUAUUGGUCAAUGGACGAGAGUCUGAACCAGCCAAGUAGCGUGAAGGAUGACUGCCCUAUGGGUUGUAAACUUCUUUUAUAUGGGAAUAAAAUGUUCCACGUGUGGGAUUUUGUAUGUACCAUAUGAAUAAGGAUCGGCUAACUCCGUGCCAGCAGCCGCGGUAAUACGGAGGAUCCGAGCGUUAUCCGGAUUUAUUGGGUUUAAAGGGAGCGUAGGUGGAUUGUUAAGUCAGUUGUGAAAGUUUGCGGCUCAACCGUAAAAUUGCAGUUGAAACUGGCAGUCUUGAGUACAGUAGAGGUGGGCGGAAGUCGUGGUGUAGCGGUGAAAUGCUUAGAUAUCACGAAGAACUCCGAUUGCGAAGGCAGUUCACUGGACUGCAACUGACACUGAGGCUCGAAAGUGUGGGUAUCAAACAGGAUUAGAUACCCGGGUAGUC
rnacentral:rRNA from 1 species